UCAAUUUUCGGGAUGUGAAGAUGUAUGGACUGAAGGACGCGUCGGCAGAAAAAGUAGAAUACGACUUCGACCAGAAACAUGUCUUAUACGGCAUCAGGGUGCCCGCUCUCACCAUCCUAGGAAAGUACGAAAUAUCGGGACGGAUCCUUGUUCUACCGAUUACCGGGAAAGGAGACGUCAACAUUACGUUAUGUAAAUAAUUUUAAGCAUUAUCAUUAUUAUUAUUAUUAUUGCUAACAGGGCAUUUACUUCUAUAUACCCCAAGACAAACUUUGCCCUUAAAUUACAUAAUGCAGCAGCUAUUUCCGAAAUAUAUUUCGUUUUUAAUA